rnacentral:tRNA from 1 species
AGCCUGAUAUUUUAUUUUAAAAAUUCUUGGUUGUGGGUCGAGAGAAUUUGGGCUA